UGGGGAAUAUUGCACAAUGGGCGCAAGCCUGAUGCAGCCAUGCCGCGUGUGUGAAGAAGGCCUUCGGGUUGUAAAGCACUUUCAGCGAGGAGGAAGGUGGUGAGCUUAAUACGCUCAUCAAUUGACGUUACUCGCAGAAGGAGCACCGGCUAACUCCGUGCCAGCAGCCGCGGUAAUACGGAGGGUGCAAGCGUUAAUCGGAAUUACUGGGCGUAAAGCGCACGCAGGCGGUUUGUUAAGUCAGAUGUGAAAUCCCCGGGCUCAACCUGGGAACUGCAUUUGAAACUGGCAAGCUAGAGUCUCGUAGAGGGGGGUAGAAUUCCAGGUGUAGCGGUGAAAUGCGUAGAGAUCUGGAGGAAUACCGGUGGCGAAGGCGGCCCCCCUGGACGAAGACUGACGCUCAGGUGCGAAAGCGUGGGGCAGCAAACAGGAUUAGAUACCCUGGUAGUCCACGCUGUAAACGAUGUCGACUUUGGAGGUUGUGCCCUUGAGGCGUGGNUUCCGGAGCUAACGNGUUAAAUCGACCGCC
rnacentral:rRNA from 1 species